AGCGGCGGACGGGUUAGUAACGCGUGGGAAUAUACCCGGUACUAAGGAAUAGCCUUUGGAAACGAAGAGUAAUACCUUAUACGCCCUUCGGGGGAAAGAUUUAUCGGUAUCGGAUUAGCCCGCGUAAGAUUAGAUAGUUGGUGGGGUAAUGGCCUACCAAGUCUACGAUCUUUAGCUGGUUUUAGAGGAUGAUCAGCAACACUGGGACUGAGACACGGCCCAGACUCCUACGGGAGGCAGCAGUGGGGAAUCUUAGACAAUGGGCGCAAGCCUGAUCUAGCCAUGCCGCGUGAGUGAAGAAGGCCUUAGGGUCGUAAAACUCUUUCGCCAGAGAUGAUAAUGACAGUAUCUGGUAAAGAAACCCCGGCUAACUCCGUGCCAGCAGCCGCGGUAAUACGGAGGGGGUUAGCGUUGUUCGGAAUUACUGGGCGUAAAGCGCACGUAGGCGGACUGGAAAGUUGGGGGUGAAAUCCCGGGGCUCAACCUCGGAACUGCCUCCAAAACUAUCAGUCUAGAGUUCGAGAGAGGUGAGUGGAAUUCCAAGUGUAGAGGUGAAAUUCGUAGAUAUUUGGAGGAACACCAGUGGCGAAGGCGGCUCACUGGCUCGAUACUGACGCUGAGGUGCGAAAGUGUGGGGAGCAAACAGGAUUAGAUACCCUGGUAGUCCACACCGUAAACGAUGAAUGCCAGUCGUCGGCAAGUAUACUCGUCGGUGACACACCUAACGGAUUAAGCAUUCCGCCUGGGGAGUACGGUCGCAAGAUUAAAACUCAAAGGAAUUGACGGGGGCCCGCACAAGCGGUGGAGCAUGUGGUUUAAUUCGAAGC
rnacentral:rRNA from 1 species